ACAGAAAAAAAAAUUAGAGCUACAGCUCAUGCCAGAGCGAGGGGACAUUAAUUCAUUCUGUACCCCCAGAUGUACAGCAUCUGCUAAUUCUUAGCUGCCCAAGAGGAAAUUUCUGGCUACUGUUAUCAGUGUCAUAAACUUGCAGAAAUGCCAGGAAGGCCCCUAGCUGUGAGAGCAGCUGAAAACCACCGAAAGUUACCCUGGAGAGAAUGCCUGCUAUUGUGUCUGGCCCUGAGAGCAUGCAGAGCUGGUGGCUCUGGUGGCCCAGAGAAGGGAGGGAGAUGUAGAACAGUUCUUGAAGAUCUGCCAUUAACAGGUUCAUCUGGCUUCAAUUCAGGCACUUGGUGCAUUGGCAGUCUGAGCUGUGGGAGCUGCCUUCUUCAGACCCCCAAGGUCAGGACCCUGGGGACACUAGCUUUUGCACAAGCCCUGCUCUUCAUGCCUGUGCCCCCAGCAAAGGCUUUGUGCUGAAGCUGAUGAGGAGGGACAGCCAUCCCCAGGGAGAUGCAGAAGGUGUCUGUGGCGCUUGUGCCUUCAGCACAUGGGAGCUGGGAGCAUCCUCCAUCUUCUGCCCUCACACUAGCAGCAGGCAUCCGGAGGGGGAAUCACAUCCAGUCCACCACCAUCCUGCUUUCACCCUGGCUCUUCCAUCACUUCUCUUGUUUCACAACAACUAAAUGAGCAUUACCAGCCCCUGUCCUCUUUUGUUGUUGUUGUUAUUUUUUCAUCUUUCCCCUGCAGAAAUGUAAAUAACUGUGAUUUUACUUUUUCUGGGGGCUCACUUGAACAGGACACCUUGAGAUACAGCAGAGGCUUGUUGCUUCCCACCCACUCCUCCAUCCUGUCCAUGCGAGGGUCCCAGCAAUACUCAGAACAGGCAGGCUGGGAGAUUCAUUCACCCAUUGCAGCCUUGCUGCUCUUUUACAGCAGUCCCAGCCCUCUCCAUAAACAAGCUGGAGGUCUUCCCUCACCUCACCUUUCUUUCCCAUUGGCUUUUUGGCUUCUGCAUUUCUUUGCCUGCUGGCUUAGUGUAUGAUGUAGUUGUUUGAGAUAUCCUACUACUCUACCAAAUUUUACAGCAUCUCUUGAGCUUUAGCAUGACUUCUUUGCUGUAAAUAAAGUUUUAUCCUUCUGCCUGCA
rnacentral:lncRNA from 1 species